rnacentral:rRNA from 1 species
UACGAAGGGGGCUAGCGUUGCUCGGAAAUCACUGGGCGUAAAGGGCGCGUAGGCGGCCAGCACAAGUCAGUUGUGAAAUCUCCGAGCUUAACUCGGAAAGGUCAACUGAUACUGUGCGGCUAGAGUGCGGAAGGGGCAACUGGAAUUCUUGGUGUAGCGGUGAAAUGCGUAGAUAUCAAGAGGAACACCUGCGGCGAAGGCGGGUUGCUGGGCCGACACUGACGCUGAGGCGCGAAAGCCAGGGGAGCGAACGGG